GACGAACGCUGGCGGCGUGCUUAACACAUGCAAGUCGAACGGAAAGGCCCUGGUUUUGUGGGGUGCUCGAGUGGCGAACGGGUGAGUAACACGUGAGUAACCUGCCCUUGACUUGGGGAUAACUUCAGGAAACUGGGGCUAAUACCGGAUAGGAGCUCAUGCUGCAUGGUGGGGGUUGGAAAGUUGCGGCGGCUGGGGUUGGACUCGCGGCUUAGCAGCUUGUUGGUGGGGUAGUGGCUUACCCAGGCUUUGACGGGUAGCCGGCCUGAGAGGGUGACCGGCCACAUUGGGACUGAGAUACGGCCCAGACUCCUACGGGAGGCAGCAGUGGGGAUUUGUGCACGAUGGGCGGAAGCCGGAUGCAGCAUCGCCGCGUGCUGGAUGACGGCCUUCGGGUUGUAAACCGCUUUCGCCUGUGACGAAGAGUGAGUGACGGUAAUGGGUAAAGAAGCACCGGCUAACUACGUG
rnacentral:rRNA from 1 species